rnacentral:lncRNA from 1 species
UUUUUUGUAGUUAACUAACAUUUGUCAAACUAACACACUGCUGUUAUAUUACACCAAUUUGUUUGUGUUGACAUACACUCAUAUCGACCUUAAUUUAAUAAAAAAAAAUGUUUAAGUUUCAUGUUUGCUAAUGUUUUAAACACGUAUUUAACACCUCUUCAUCGUGUUUGCGCUUGGUUGGGUGUGAUAAAGUUCUGGAGACUUAUAAUAAAACUGUACUGCCUCCCUCUACUGGACGCAUCAAGAACAACAGGGGUGUAAAACUGCCCAGGCCAUAAAACUGCUUGGGCCGUAGAUCUGUCUGGAUCCAAGUCUGCAGUCUUCCCCACCUCGAAUAUUUCGUGCAACAGCGCCCCCUGGUCAGUGAUCACAAUUUUCGGCACAACACCGCCCUUCAGAAACGAAAGUGAAAGUGUUUAGUUGUUGUGUUGCAGUUUUAAACAACCAAAAUUCAUCAUUUACCAACGCGGAACAGCUUUAAAUCUUUAAUGUCUGGACAAAACCUGUAAGCUUUAUGUGAAUGUGUGUAUGAUGUUAUUAUAAUCAAACGGAUGACGCUGUGAUUCUUCAUUAGUUUACUCGUGAUGAGCUUCUGGAUUUGAGUGUCUCAGCUGCUGAUCUAUUCCUGCAUUCAGCUGAAUUAUGAAGGCUGAUCAAUGACUGGAGAUCUGUGAUUGUUUAUCAGUUUCUUGUUUCUUCUAGAGUUUCUGCUGGAGAUCAAACUCUUCAGAUCCAUCAUGGAGGACACAAACACACCUGGAGUUCUGGAUUUGUCUACAGGAUGCAGUUCAGUUCAUCAGAAGAGAGCAGAAGCAGAGCCCAGCUGUGUGUCUAUGAAGAGUGACGCGUCUAUGGAUGAACCAAUAAAUCUUAAGAGUAAAAACACAGGACCUGCUGUCAGUUCAGUUCAUCAGAAGAGAGCAGAAGCAGAGCCCAGCUGUGUGUCUAUGAAGAGUGACGCGUCUAUGAUCCAACCAAUGCAUUUUAAGAGUGAAAACACACGACCUGCUGUAAGUGAUGAAUAUGAGUCAGCAGCUUCAGGAGACGAGACUCACAGGAGACACAAGAGCUUCACAGACAAUCUCCAGUUGAUCUUCCAGGUAAAAAAACUCAUUUAGACUUAUUAACGCCACUAAGGUAACUCAAUGAAACUAACUAAAACCCUGACUAACUAAAAGUGUCUACAAAAUGAAUGAUCUUAAUAGUCUGUGCUGCUUUGGUUUUUCAGAUAUUAAAAUAAUAUUUCUUGGUCAUUCAGAGGUCUCUCAGUCAUUUACAGGCACUUCAAGAGUUCCCA